GCCGUCUUCCCUCAGCCGGUAGAGCGCAUGGCUUUUAACCAUGUGGUGGCGGCGGCUUCGAUUCCCACAGACGGCG
rnacentral:tRNA from 2 species